rnacentral:rRNA from 1 species
AUUCUUCGGAUGAAGAGGUUUGUGACUGAGUGGCGGACGGGUGAGUAACGCGUGGGUAACCUGCCUCAUACAGGGGGAUAACAGUUAGAAAUGACUGCUAAUACCGCAUAAGCGCACGGGACCGCAUGGUCCUGUGUGAAAAACUCCGGUGGUAUAAAAUGGACCCGCGUUGGAUUAACUAGUUGGCAGGGCAGCGGCCUACCAAGGCGACGAUCCAUAGCCGGCCUGAGAGGGUGAACAGCCACAUUGGGACUGAGACACGGCCCAGACUCC